rnacentral:rRNA from 2 species
GCCUGAGAGGGCGACCGGCCACACUGGGACUGAGACACGGCCCAGACUCCUACGGGAGGCAGCAGUGGGGAAUAUUGCGCAAUGGGCGGAAGCCUGACGCAGCGACGCCGCGUGGGGGAUGACGGCCUUCGGGUUGUAAACCUCUUUCGCCAGGGACGAAGAGUGAUUGACGGUACCUGGAGAAGAAGCACCGGCCAACUACGUGCCAGCAGCCGCGGUAACACGUAGGGUGCGAGCGUUGUCCGGAAUUAUUGGGCGUAAAGAGCUCGUAGGCGGUGUGUCGCGUCGGCCGUGAAAACUUGGGGCUUAACUCUGAGCGUGCGGUCGAUACGGGCAUCACUUGAGUUCGGCAGGGGAGACUGGAAUUCCUGGUGUAGCGGUGAAAUGCGCAGAUAUCAGGAGGAACACCGGUGGCGAAGGCGGGUCUCUGGGCCGAUACUGACGCUGAGGAGCGAAAGCGUGGGGAGCGAACAGGAUUAGAUACCCUGGUAGUCCACGCCGUAAACGUUGGGCGCUAGGUGUGGGGACCAUUCCACG